rnacentral:misc_RNA from 1 species
GUGAAUCAUCAAAUCUUUGAACGCAAAUUGCACUCUCUGGUAUUCCGGAGAGUAUGCCUGUUUGAGGGUCAGCUUAAAUAAAAAGCGGUGUGGUGGCUGCCUUGCGUUGUGACUCACCGGAGUUGGGUCGUCUUGCCUUCGGUUAAGUGGGCUUAAAUUGUGCAUGCUUUUUUUCGAACGUAUUUAAAUGUUUUUACGUACGUUUGCGAUAUAUAAUACUCGGUGUUGAUAUCCUCAUGAGUCGCGACUAUAAUUGUUCAUAAAAAUGACCUC